UAGGAAUCUCCACAAUGGACGCAAGUCUGAUGGAGCAACGCCGCGUGAGUGAAGAAGGUUUUCGGACCGUAAAGCUCUGUUGUUGGUGAAGAAGGAUAGAGGUAGUAACUGGCCUUUAUUUGACGGUAAUCAACCAGAAAGUCACGGCUAACUACGUGCCAGCAGCCGCGGUAAUACGUAGGUGGCAAGCGUUGUCCGGAUUUAUUGGGCGUAAAGCGAGCGCAGGCGGAAGAAUAAGUCUGAUGUGAAAGCCCUCGGCUUAACCGAGGAAUUGCAUCGGAAACUGUUUUCUUGAGUGCAGAAGAGGAGAGUAGGAACUCCAUGUGUAGCGGUGGAAUGCGUAGAUAUAUGGAAG
rnacentral:rRNA from 1 species